GGGUGGAAAGGGUCAUGGUUCUGGAUCAGGGAUAAGUGGCAAUUAGCUGAGUAAGAUAAGGCCCCAACUUGCAUAGUGUUGACCAGUAUUCCGAAACUCUUGAGUUCUUCUUUUUAAGUUUGUCAUUUAUUUAAAACUUCAUAUAUUGUUUGUCAAUUUACAAUUUCAAGGAGCCAUUUUGAACUUUCCCAAGCUGAGUGGGACGUCAUCGAAGUUAUUUACAGAUGUCCUCUAAGGUCAUGCCAUU
rnacentral:lncRNA from 1 species